AUCAUUUUUAGCUAUGGUAAAAUAGGAUACAUUAAAAUACGCAACCAACCGUCAUUGAACCGUCCAAUCAGAUCAAAGGAGUAAUCGUCGUAGAUCGUGCGUUAUCGAUAAUGUUCGGUGCCUGGAGAAAAUUGACAAUUGACAAGAGAAUUGUUUAUUAUUUUUGACUUUUUAGUUCGUUUAAUUUAAUAAUUACUAAAACCAGUAGUUCGAAAGAUAUAUUUAAAAAUAAAAGAUAAAAAUCCAAAAAAUUAAUUAUCUAUUAACGUGGAUUUGGACGACAAUAGGUUUUUAGUUUGUGAUGUUUCAUGUGAUGAUCAUUUUCAUGUUCAUCGUCUUUGAAUUGACAUGAGGAUAUCUAUGGAAAAGUAACUAAUCUGAAAGUAAGCCAACAUAUCGUUUGUCCUUUGUGUGCUAAAGAAAAGAUUUUCUUUUCGCAUCAUGAGGAAGUAUUACAUCAAUUAAAAAUGUUAGGAAGUUGAUUACUUGUCAUGG